GAUGAGAACGAUGUAUAUAUUUAUGGUCCAGAAACUCCAGUCUAUUAUCCAGAGAUCGUACGUUAUGUUAUGAAAGUUGAUAUGAGAAAAAAUAAAUUUCCCGAGAAAAAAGCCCAACAUUCAAAGGACAGUGGUGCAAUGUUUCCGAAGCUAGCAAUUAUCACUGAUAAUGUUAGCUAUCAGAAAUACGGUGAAAGUAAAUUAAUUGAACGUUCACAAAAAAUAAUCAACUGGA